rnacentral:rRNA from 1 species
UAGGGAAUCUUCCGCAAUGGACGAAAGUCUGACGGAGCAACGCCGCGUGAGUGAUGAAGGCCUUCGGGUCGUAAAACUCUGUUGUUAGGGAAGAACAAGUACCGGAGUAACUGCCGGUACCUUGACGGUACCUAACCAGAAAGCCACGGCUAACUACGUGCCAGCAGCCGCGGUAAUACGUAGGUGGCAAGCGUUGUCCGGAAUUAUUGGGCGUAAAGCGCGCGCAGGCGGUCCUUUAAGUCUGAUGUGAAAGCCCACGGCUCAACCGUGGAGGGUCAUUGGAAACUGGGGGACUUGAGUGCAGAAGAGGAAAGCGGAAUUCCACGUGUAGCGGUGAAAUGCGUAGAGAUGUGGAGGAACACCAGUGGCGAAGGCGGCUUUCUGGUCUGUAACUGACGCUGAGGCGCGAAAGCGUGGGGAGCAAACA